rnacentral:rRNA from 1 species
GAUGAACGCUGGCGGCGUGCCUAAUACAUGCCAGUCGAGCGAACAGACGAGGAGCUUGCUCCUCUGACGGUAGCGGCGGACGGGCGAGUAACACGUGGAUAACCUACCUAUAAGACGGGGAGAACUUCGGGAAACCGGAGCUAAUACCGGAUAAUAUAUUGAACCGCAGGGUUCAAUAGUGAAAGACGGCUUGGCUGACACUUAUAGAUGGAGCCGCGCCGGAUUAGCUAGUUGGUAAGGGAACGGCUUACCAAGGCGACGAUGCGUAGCCGACCUGAGAGGGUGAUCCGCCCCCCUGGAACUGAGACCCGGUCCCGACCCCUACGGGAGGCCGCAGUAGGGAAUCUUCCGCCAUGGGCCAAAGCCUGACGGAGCACAGCCGCCUGAGUGGUGAAGGUCUUCCGAUCGUAAAACUCUGUUAUUAGGGAAGAAAAAAUGUGUAAGUAACUCUGCACGUCUUGACCGUACCUCAUCAGAAAGCCACGGCUAACUACGUG